GCGGAGGAAAAGAAACCAACAGGGAUUGCCUCAGUAACGGCGAGUGAAGCGGCAAAAGCUCAAAUUUGAAAACCCCCGGGUGUUGUAAUUUGAUGAAGGUGGGUUGGAAAGAAAAAAGUGUGUUGGAAAACACCGCCACAGAGGGUGAUAGCCCCGUUAUCCUUCUACUAAACCCCCCUUCAAAGAGUCGAGUUGUUUGGGAAUGCAGCUCUAAUGGGUGGUAAAUUCCAUCUAAAGCUAAAUACUGGCGAGAGACCGAUAGCGAACAAGUACAGUGAUGGAAAGAUGAAAAGCACUUUGAAAAGAGAGUGAAAAAGUACGUGAAAUUGUUGAAAGGGAAGGAGAGGUGGGGGUAGAAAAMCUNGAAGAGAGCAGCUAAAAAGRGRGAGAGAUGUAACUCUAGAGUAUUAUAAUCUGUCUUUCACCUGCAUCACUUCGGGGGGUCCANACUGUCACCUCUCGCCCGUCUUGA
rnacentral:rRNA from 1 species